AUAAUAAAACCCAGUGGGUGUCGAAAACAAGCCAUUCGCCGAUUACUAACCUGUUGAGACACCGCGAGAGGUCUCCACAAUUUUCACAAUGAAAUAUUUGUGGAUAAGUGUCAUAUGCUGUGUAAUUCUUACGGAAAUUUCCAGAUGUCAGGCGGCAAAUCUCACUUUUCCCAGCAAUUUUUCAAUCGGCGCUGCAACAGCAUCCUAUCAAAUAGAAGGAGCAUGGAAUACCAGCGAUAAGGGAGAAAAUGUUUGGGAUUGGUUCACCCACAAUUACCCCGAUAGUAUAGCAGACGGAAGUAAUGGAGACGUGGCUUGCGACUCUUAUAAUCAGUACGAAGUAGACGUGGCGCUGUUAAAGAAUAUGGGCGUCGACUUCUAUCGGUUUUCAAUCAGCUGGUCACGCGUACUGCCAAAUGGUUUCGCAAACGAAGUCAGCGAGGAUGGGAUUCAGUACUACAAAAAUCUCAGCCAAUUGCUAAUCGCUAACGAUAUCGAGCCAGUCGUAACACUAUAUCACUGGGACCAUCCGGAGAUUCUUGAGGAGUUGGGCGGAUGGACCAACGAGUUGAUGGUGACGUGGUACGCCGACUACGCUCGAAUAAUUUUCGAAGAAUUGGGGCCCUACGUUAAGCGAUUCAUUACAAUCAACGAGCCCACGUCCUACUGCCUAAAUGGAUAUAACGCAACUCGCUUUGCUCCAGCAAAAAUUUUGGAAAAUAUGGGGCACUACAUUUGCAUACACAACACCUUGAAAGCCCACGCUACAGCUUAUCACAUAUACGACGACGAAUUCCGAGCAACCCAAAACGGUGAAGUAGGUUUAGUCGCAUACUGCAGAGGAUGGGUCUCGGGUGACAACGUAACCGACGAAACCAUAGAGCAGUAUUUCCUAUUCAAUUGUGGUUGGGUAGUGCAUCCGAUUUUCGCUGGGGACUAUCCGGAAAUCAUGAAAACUAGAAUAGCCAACAUCAGUGCGCUCGAAGGUUAUCCAUUCUCGCGUCUUCCGGAAUUUUCGGACGAUUGGGUAGAGUACAUCAAUGGGACGGCAGAUUUCUUCGGUCUUAAUUACUACACCUCUCGGUUACCUGUAUUCGAUUCAGAUGAGGACCUUGGUAUAUACACCAUAGACAGUGGUGUAAUCGAAAAUGUUAACAGCAGUUGGUCAGUUGGAGCUUCGGAUUGGUUAUAUGUAGUACCAGAGGGAUUGGGCAAUCUGCUACAAAUGAUUAGGGAUACGUACAGCAACCCGCCGGUAUGGAUUAUGGAAAAUGGAUAUUCCGACGAAGGUGAAUCUGACGAUUACGAUCGAAUCAGCUACUAUUAUGAUCACCUCAGCGUAGUACUCUCAGCCAUCAACGACGAUGGCUGCAACAUUGAAGGUUACACGAUUUGGUCACUCCUCGACAAUUUUGAAUGGGCUGAUGGUUACACAAAACUGUUCGGUGUUCACCAAGUGGACUUUGACAGUUCCAACAGAACAAGAUCGACCAAGCUCUCCGCUACCUGGUGGCAAGACGUACUUAGCACGCGAGAACUUCAGGCGGUUCCAACCGCGAAUAGUACUCGCCGUUAGGCAAAUUUAUCAUCGUGCAUGAUCCCUUGGCAUGAAUAUAUCAUAUAUAUAAAUCCUAGCGCGACGAAGCGCAAAUAAAUAUCAACGCCCGCUGGACGCCUGCUCCCUCUGCUCUCUCGUAAAAACGUGCCAAGUGACGAAUGUUUUUUCGAGUCCAAUUUAACUCAACUGAUCAAUUAUUACGUAAAAAUAAAAAAAUCAAUCCAUCACCAGCAUCAGACUUCACACUUAUGCUUCUGAGGAAUUUACUCGAAAA
rnacentral:misc_RNA from 1 species